UACGUAGGUGACAAGCGUUGUCCGGAUUUACUGGGCGUAAAGAGCGCGCAGGCGGUCGAUCAAGUCGAGUGUGAAAGCCCCCGGCUCAACUGGGGAGGGUCAUUCGAUACUGAUCGACUCGAAGGCAGGAGAGGGUAGUGGAAUUCCUGGUGUAGCGGUGAAAUGCGCAGAUAUCAGGAAGAACACCUAUGGCGAAGGCAGCUCUCUGGGACGGUACUGACGCUGAGACGCGAAAGCGUGGGGAGCGAACAGG
rnacentral:rRNA from 1 species